AGAGUUUGAUCCUGGCUCAGAGCGAACGCUGGCGGCGUGCUUAACACAUGCAAGUCGAGUGCGCAGUUCUCUGUAGCAAUACAGGGGAUGGGCGCACGGCGCACGGGUGCGUAACACGUGGGCAAUCUGCCCUCGGAUGGGGGAUAACUCGUCGAAAGGCGAGCUAAUACCGCAUGACAUUCCGAAGACUCCGGUCUUUGGACUCAAAGGCCGCAAGGCCGUCUGAGGAGGAGCCCGCGCCCGAUUAGCUAGUUGGUGAGGUAACGGCUCACCAAGGCUUUGAUCGGUAGCCGGUCUGAGAGGAUGGCCGGCCACACUGGAACUGAGACACGGUCCAGACUCCUACGGGAGGCAGCAGUGGGGAAUAUUGCGCAAUGGGCGAAAGCCUGACGCAGCGACGCCGCGUGGGGGAUGAAGCUUCUCGGAGUGUAAACCCCUUUCGACCCGGACG
rnacentral:rRNA from 1 species